rnacentral:other from 1 species
UUGCCCCUGCGUUGUGCGUGGAUGGGUUGUCUCUAAACCUAACAAUCGCUGCCAGGGAGCCGAGUCCAGGAGGACGGUGUGCACGUUCCGCCCCGGGCGGAAAAGCCUAAAGUCUUCAUCUCGGUGCCCACCUGGUUGUUUCCGGUUUGAGUUUAAUCCUUCUUCACGGCAACCGUGGGGGCUUC